UGAGUAACGCGUAUCCAACCUUCCCUAUAGUAGGGGAUAGCCCGGCGAAAGUCGGAUUAAUACCCUAUGUUAUUCAACGAUGGCAUCUGAAUUGAAUCAAAGGUUUACCGCUAUAGGAUGGGGAUGCGUCUGAUUAGCUUGUUGGCGGGGUAACGGCCCACCAAGGCAACGAUCAGUAGGGUUCUGAGAGGAAGGUCCCCCCACAUUGGUACUGAGACACGGACCAAACUCCUACGGGAGGCAGCAGUGAGGAAUAUUGGUCAAUGGGCGAGAGCCUGAACCAGCCAAGUAGCGUGCAGGAUGACUCGCCCUAUUGGGGUUGUAAACUGUCUUUUUAUAGGGGAAUAAAGUGAGGGACGUGUCCCUUUUUGUAUGUACCCUAUGAAUAAGGACCGGCUAAUUCCGUGCCAGCAGCCGC
rnacentral:rRNA from 1 species